GGGUUGUGAGGUUAAGCGAAUAAGCGUACACGGUGGAUGCCUAGGCAGUCAGAGGCGAUGAAGGACGUGCUAAUCUGCGAUAAGCGCCGGUAAGGUGAUAUGAACCGUUAUAACCGGCGAUUUCCGAAUGGGGAAACCCAGUGUGAUUCGUCACACUAUCAUUACCUGAAUACAUAGGGUAAUGAAGCGAACCGGGAGAACUGAAACAUCUAAGUACCCCGAGGAAAAGAAAUCAAACGAGAUUCCCCCAGUAGCGGCGAGCGAACGGGGAGCAGCCCAGAACCUUAAUCACUAUCAGCAUCAGGAGAACAGUCUGGAAAGGCUGGCCGCAGCAGGUGAUAGCCCUGUAUCCGAAGGUGUUGGUAGUGUGAGUUCGAUGAGUAAGGCGGGACACGUGUUAUCCUGUCUGAAUACGGGGGGACCAUCCUCCAAGGCUAAAUACUCCUGACUGACCGAUAGUGAACCAGUACCGUGAGGGAAAGGCGAAAAGAACCCCGGCGAGGGGAGUGAAAAAGAACCUGAAACCGUGUACGUACAAGCAGUGGGAGCACCUUUAUGGUGUGACUGCGUACCUUUUGUAUAAUGGGUCAGCGACUUAUAUUCUGUAGCAAGGUUAACCGAAUAGGGGAGCCGCAGGGAAACCGAGUCUUAACUG
rnacentral:rRNA from 1 species